ACAACAAUAACAAUAAUAAUAAUAUUCUACAACAGCAAGGAAAAUUAUGGGGACAUGAGAAGGAAGAGGAGUCUGGCUGAAGCCUCCUACCAACCAAGAAUCAAGAAUUCCAAUACAAUUAACAACCAUCAUCUAAGGCCUUUCUCCCAUCCAAGGCACCUGCAGAGCCUCAGAAUAAUCUUGUGAGAAGGGUGACUGAGAUAGAGGAGGUAAGGGUCCCUUACAUAACCACUGAGCAAUAGGUAUUAGUUACUGUCUUGUAGCUGUGACAAAAAUAUCCUGACAAAAGCAAUGGGGGGACUUAGGGUUUAUCUUGGCUCAUUGUUCUAGGGUACCAAGCAUCACGACAGGGAAGCCACGGCAGGGAAGCCACAGCAUCAAGAGCUUGAGGUAGCUGGUCAUAUCGAACCCACAGUUUAGAAGUAGAGGGAGAUGAGUGCUUGUAUCUCUCUCUCUCUCUCUCUCUCUCUCUCUCUCUCUCUCUCUCUCAGUUUAGUGUAUGACCUGGAAUGAUAGCACCAACAUUUAGAGCAGGUCUUCUGACCUCAAUUAACACCUAAUCUAGGUGUCCCCUCAUAGAUGUGCCCAGAGAUUUGUUUCCAUAGUGAUUCUAGAUGUCACCAAGUUGACAGUCAAAAUCAUCUGUCCCACAGUGCAUUUCAGAUGCUUCCAAAGUCCUAGAUAUAAACUGGGCAUGGUGGCAUACACCCUUAAUCCCAGCUCCUAGGAAGCAGAGGCACGUGGAUCCCUGUGAGUCUGAGGCUAGCCUGGGCUACAUAGUGAGACUCUGUCUCAAAACAAACAAAAAUCCUGCAUACAGCAAGCAGUAGGACAUACCUGGGAUUACUGCCAUGUACCAAACACCUGGGUUUUUUUGUUUGUUUGUAGGUUUUUUGUUUGUUUGCUUAUUUUGUUUUUUCAAGACAGGAUUUUUCUGUGUACCCUGGCUGUCCUGGAAUUUACUCUGUAGACCAGGCUGGCCUUGAACUCACAGAGAUGUGGGGGCCUGUCUCUGCCUCCCGAGUGCUGAUGACCUGAUCUUUAAAGACUGACUUUGUCAUGUUGCCUGAGAUGGUCUUGCACUUUUGAGCUUAGGUGACCCUCCUUCCUCAACAUCACAAGUAUUGGGAUAAUAGAUAGACCUGUGCCUCUGUGACCAUGUGACAUGAAGUCUAGAUAUUUGCCUACUCCUUGUCUUCCUGAGAGAAAUCUGCAAGACUUGCCUCUGAACGUUCCCAGACUGCAGUGUCAGUUGGGGUUCCCCCAAAUUGAAAGCACUUUCUGCCGUCAUCUCUUUCAUCAUGAAACCCUACAUGCGUGGUUCAUCGGCAGCCACAGCCCUAGCGUCGGUGGGACAACACAGAGCGGCCAUAAGGGAGCCAGAGCAGAGCUCGUGGAGACAGAGGCUCAGGCUGGGCGUCUGCUGUGCCUGCCCACGCUCUCCUCUAAACUGUGCGACCGAAGGAGAGAACCCAUCAAGUCUCUUGAGUUGCCUUCAUUUUAAAAGAGAUGGGAACGGAGUUCUAGCUACAGGGUGACGGGGGUAGAUGCUCCGUUUAACUGUCCUCGCCGGCGCAGCUUCCUCUGGAUUGGUGCAGACGAUCUUCCACCCCCUCCCCUUUUCCGGCCUAGACUAGUUGGAGGAAGUCUACAAAGCUGGUUAUUUUUAGCCUUUGAGCCUAGGCUGAUUCAACACCCCCCACCCCAAGCCCCGUCCUUUUCAUUCCUCAGCCUGGCCCUUGAAUUCCCACAGGAGCCGUCCUGGGGCUUUCAAGGCAGCGUCACAAGCCAGCAGGAUGUCUGGGCUGGCGGUCGGGGGCGUGGCUGACCUGGCAAUCGGAAGAGUCUGAAGGAACUCGGAGAUUGGGGCUGUCACGAUUUGACUGUUAGUCCAUUCAUUCAAGCAUCAGGAUGCGUCGGUGGUCUGUGUGGGGUGCUCUUUCCAAGGAAAGUACGGGGUACUCAGUCUCUCUCUACCUCGGCUGCUGCCAGAAUGUGCUGUCGGCUCCGGGGGAGGGUCUUCUCCUCAGUCAGUCCUUGCAGGGACUGUCCUCACAGAGCUGCCCCAGAGGUGUGUCUCUUAGGUGAUCUCAGAGUCAAUCAAGCUAACCACGAAGAUCGACCAUUACCGUGGUCUUCCUGCCUGAGCCCUCCUGGUCCUGGGAAUGCAAGUAUGUGGCCCAUGCCCAUCACUCCUCCUUUCUAUGGUGCUGUGGGGCACACAGCAGGGGAGAGGGCGCAGACAUGGGGUUAAGGCAAUACAAAGACUUUAUUAGCUGGCCAGUGGUGGUACUGGGUGUUCGGGACUGAGCCUUUCUCAGGGUGAGCUUUUAAGCACAAAAACCACAUCCUGGGUUGACACACCUCAGUUAGCAAGAACAGUUAGCCAGAAGUGGAACUACAGAAGCCAAAAGGCAAGGUUAGUAUAUCUCGAGACUUUCCCACACUGUGGACUGUGAUGGAUUAGGUCUCUGUUUUUGUUUGGGCAGGUGGUGCUGUCUACGUGUUUACAGCCUGGGUGGCUCCUCCAUCAUGGAGUCAGUUGUGCUAAGGUCUGGGGCCUGUUACAGUGGUCUUAAAUUGUAAUUAGAAGUAACAUCGCACACAUUGGGUAAAGCUCUCGGUUCUUCUGCUCUUUGCUCCCACCUCCUGGGGCCGUGUGUCUUUCUAAUCCCCCUUUGAGACGAGUAGUCUCAAAGCUGCAGAAGAAAUGGACAUGAGGUCUUCUGUAAAUAAGCUAUUUCCAUUAAAAAGCACUCCUCUAGCUGGGUGUGUUGGCUCACACCUAUAUUCCAGAACUGAGGCAGGAAGGCUCACAUCAGUUUGAAUCCAGCAUCACGGACAGUGUGAAACCCUGUCUUAAAGUGAAACAGAACAAUAGUCCCUUCCUCUUCUUCAAAUCAGCUCUCUCAUGGUCCCUGCCUCCACCAUCAUCAGUUCCCACGAAACACAGUGUGACCUGACAAGGUACGACAGAGUUUCCCAGUCACAGGUCAUCAGUCCUGAAAUGGGUCUGCAUCUGCUGAAAAAUACGGCCCCCAGGGGACAAGGUCUCUGCGAUCAGACAGUGUGCAUAUGCAAGCUGAGGGCUGAGAAGUAGCCAAGAGAUCUCCUCUGCAAUAUUCGCUGCACACCAGCUCUGCCCACGAUCAAAGGAGCAAGCGGCACCUGCCUAUAGCGCGCAGGUGGUCAGCACCCUCCAAUUCACCCGCUUCUUGUUCGUUUGUUGAGACAAGGUCUCACUCUGUAGCUUAAGCCGUUCUCAAAUUCAGGGUCCAUCUGCUCCAGCUCUCUGAGUCCUGGAAUUAUGGUAUGGGCCAGCACACCAGUCCUGAACUCUCAUCCUCAUCAAUGUAAAUCUGCUGGGGGAGCUUCCUCUUGUUCUGUAUAAUCACUGGGCUACUUCACAUACAAUCCUCCGUGUAGAAUAGUGUUCCCUAGGUGUGCCUGUGUGUGUGUUCAGACAGGCAGGAGGAUUUUUCAAGAGGUUGGCUAGGAGGUGUGACCUAUACCUGUGGGCUACAGCUGGCCAAGUAUUGGGUAAUCAAACAAGGUUUAGCAUGCCCCAUAAUAUGCCAAGAAGCUACUGAAUGUCUACUAUGUUCCAGGAAAUUAGAAGACACAAUGAGAGACUGAAAUGAAGAAGAACAUUUCUUUUUACCUUGUGAGUUUUUACCCUUUGUGAGUUUACUGGCUCAGCUGUAGGGCACAGCCUGUGGCAGGGAAUAGACAUAACCCCUCUACCCACAUUGGCAGUUGUAACUCUAAGCCAUGUUUUUGCAACACCCAGCUCCGCACAGACCAAACUGGUUCCUGGCAUCCUCAGGGAUGCUACGUUUUCUCCCCAGGAAUCCUGUCUUGGAUGGCUGGUGGAGGGAGGCCUGGGGCGGUGGAGGGCAGGGCAGACAGAUCUCAGGACUUCUGGGAAGAACUCAUACUAGGACACGUAAUUAGAUGCAUAUAACUACAUUGCUGGAUGAUCAUAACUAGUCCUCUGGUGCAGAGAGAGGGUGCCAGGCACCAGGUGACACAUGUCACCCACUAAAUCCUCUCACAAACCUGUGAAGUACGAGCUACUCUGUCCUGUGUGCAGAUGAGAACAAGGCUGGGAAGCCUCAGCCUACCCAGGGUUCUGUAGCUCAGGAAAUGGAGUGCUGUUCUGCCAUGCCAACUCCAUGGCCCAUGUCCUUCCUUACAGUAAAAUUUACCCUUCUCUGUGGUGUACAGUUCUGUGGCUGUCAGCAAAUGUGUACAGCUGGAGAGCUUUCACUACAGUCCAGUUGCAGAGCAGGUCCAUUAUCCUCAAAAUUCCCUUAGAGCCUUUUGUAUUUAAUGCUUUCCUUUUGUUUAUCCUCAGCCCUGGACACUCAGUGAUGCCUUUCUGUUUGGUUAUUUAUUUUUGAUCCUCUGGAAAGAGAACCACAAUGGAGAAAUCGUCAUCCUCACCCCCAUCCUGGCCUGCAGGUGCCAGAUGUUUGCACCAGCUGCCCAGGGUGGCGGUGCCGCCUGUAAUCCAGGAACAUUUGUAGUCCAGUGGGUGGUCCUUGUGGACAUGAAAGAACCAGGUCUAUGUUUCCUUUGACAGAAUCGCACUGCUCUAAACCCCUAAGGACAAUUGUGUCCUAGACCACGCGGUUAACCUGCAAGUGAACUGUUCCCCCUCCUGUCUCUGCUAACGGAGGAAUCUCAGCAAGCGCCCGGCCCCUGCUCAGCUUCAUGCAUAUUACAUCUCUGCUUUUGCAAUGCAUGCACGAUCCAUACUGGAGGGAUAUUUAUUUCCAGACCCGCCACAUGCUCCCCGAGGCAGCCCCCACACAGAUUUUAAUUGCUAAACCGACUUAUUCUGACUCAGUGUCUGCUUAGUAAAAUGUCUGGAGAUACAAAGAAGGGGGAGGUAGGGGAGCUGGGCCAGAUGCUGUCUAUGACUAACAGGACAUCCACCAGAGGGGGCUGAACAGCUCGCUGGCCUGUCACAGGUGGGUGGGUUUCUCGGAGCUCUUAGCUGUACCCCGUUGUGCUAAAAUUGUAGUUUGUGAAUAAGCGUUCGAGCCGGGCUGGGCUGACUCAAGGGCGGUGACGGUUUCUGAGGAAUGCCUUCAGGUCACAGGCUGCUCCAGCUCGUGGGGUGCUGCUGCCUGGGCUCUUGUCCCUCAUUCCCUCAUCUCUUCGGUGGUGCCGGCCAGUGGUCUCUGAGAAAAGCAGAGCGGGGCACUGGGGACACCGGUUUCAGGGUGAGGUUUGGAAACUGCCUGCCAUCCUCACCUUUUCUCUCCUCUUUUUCUUUUGUGUGUGUGUGGGAGGGACACACACACACACACACACACACACACACACACACACACACACAGAGCAGGGGGUGGGAGGGGUUGAUUCAUAUAACUCAGAUUGGCCUGGGAUUUAUGAUCCCCCUGCCUCAGAGAACUGGGAUUACAAUCAGGCACCAUUCCUGGCCCAAAUCCUCCACACUUUCAUUUACGGCCUUUGGCUCACACUCCAAGGCUGGCAUGGGUGCCUGUGCGAGCUCCUUGUCUCCGGUCGGUGGGAACCCACACAGGCUCAGCGGCGGCGGCUUGUGCGGCGGGUCACGUAAAAUGCUCAUUGUCCCCGUCCCAGCUCGUGUCGUCUUGAGCCUUUGUGACACAGAAUUCGUGUCAUAGAAUUGCUUCUAAGAAAGAGCUCCAGUAACGAUGGAAGGCAUGCGGAGGUGAACAGCUGGGAUCCUUUCUCCAUUAAUAACUGACUGGGAAUUCACUCGUCGUAUUUUGAAAGAACAGAGCAGCAGGUCCUGAGGGCCCAGGUUUUAGUAACACAACUUUUUGAGAAAGAGAAUGGAGAAAUCUUAGCGUGCUGGGAGGAGGCCAAGGCUGCUGGACACUGCAAACACCACAGUCCAGCCAACGUCAGUUGGGGCAACAUCGCCACCCCCCCCCAACGUUUGGUUCCAGUUGCAGACACCUUUGUCACAGUUCACAGGGCCCUGCUGUCGUUUCAUGGGUAACAUCUGGGACACUAAAGAUCCCACAGUGCAAAGGUCAGCGAAGAACCGUCUAGCCCUAGCAUUGGCAGGGCCACUCUGGAGACUUGUUGACAGGGCUGCGCAGCGUAGCAGUUUUGCUCGCAUGCCCUUCUGCGGCCUGCCUAUGACAUGGUCUGUGUAACCCCCACCAACCCCCUGGAGAGGACUGUGUGUGCCGGGCACAGUGUUGUGAUGAACAGGAACUCAGGUACAACUGAGGCCAGCUGGGGUGUGUCCGAAGGCAGCCGUUCUGUCUAGGGCCCUCGGUCUCUCCCAAGCAGUGUUUGAUGGUGACCUUUGUCCUCAACAAGUGCCAGCGUCCACUGGGGACCCAGGAAUCCGAGAAGAGGUGAAUGUUCCCAUGGGGUCCAUGCCAUGCCCUGUGCUGGUGAGAUCUAGGGCCCACAUGCUGUUUCAAAAUCUUGCUGGUUUCUCUCCCAUGAGCCUCCCACUCAAGGACAGUCCAGUCCUGUUUGGAGACCAUGACAGACUGGAACUGAGAGAGCCCAAGGCUUGUGUCCCUUCUCAGCAAUGACUAUUCAUGACUGACCUGAAGAUUUCUGCUAAAAAAUCCCCCGCCUCCAGCCCCAGGAAUUCCUGCUCAGAGGCGCUCUGGGGGAGUGAGGGUUGAGUUCUCUCUUCUUUGGAGAAGAGAGAAUCUUCUAGGCCUCACAAUGCAAUCUUUCUCACUGUGAUGACUAUUUUUGGUUGUUAACUUGACUACACUGGAAUUAACUAAAACCCCAGAGGCUGGGUACACUUGUGAGGGAUUUUUUUGUUUGUUCUUAUUUUUUGAGACAGGGUUUCUCUGUGUAGCCCUGGCUGUCCUGGAACUCGCUCUGUAGACCAGGCUGGCCUCACACUCAUAGGAUCCGCCUGCCUCUGCCUCCCGAGUGCUGGGAUCAGAGGCAUGUGCCACCACCUUCUGGCAGGAUUUUUUUUUUUUAAUUAAAAUAAUUGAAGUAGGAAGACCUACUUUUGAUCCAGAUCUUUUGAGAUGGAAAGACCCACCUCUAAUCUGUCCACAGCUUCUGCUGGCAGCCCGUAUAAAGGUCGUGGAAGAAGGAAGCUUUUGCUCUUUUCCUGCUUGGCUUUUUGUUCUUGAUGGCAAGUCCAUCCCUUCACUGGCAUUAUAGUCUGCUCCCUCAGGGUUCUGGCAUAUAGUGGAGACCAGCUGAGACAUUCAGCCUUGUGGACUGAACAAUUACUGGAUUCUUGGACCUUUUUAUCGGGGACUAAGGGGGUCCAACCCCUCGAUAGUCCCCUCCCAGGGUCUGGGAAGAAUCUACAACCAGCUGAUAAUUAAUCUUUGAUGAGAAGAAAUGAAUCUAUGUACACGAAACUCCUUAGUCCAUAUACUUUAUUAUUCUGUGUCAGUUACAAGCUUGUAUUCUGCUCUCAUAUUUAGGUCUUUUCUUGCCUGAUUUCUCUCUACACUUGUCCGCGGUCCCCUCUGGGUUCUAUCUUAAUUCCUUCAUCUUGUUCUGCUCCUUCUAGGUUCUCAUCCAUCUUGUUCCUUCCCAUAUCAUCUUUUCUCCCAUCUCUUUCUCUCUCCUCAUCUCGUUCUUCCUCAUCUCGUUCUUCCCCAUCUGGCUCAUCCUCAUCUUCCAUCUUGUUCCUCUAGUACUCUCUUCUAGCCCUUCAAUCUAGUUCUUCCCCAUCUCAGUUUGUUCCUCUCAAGUUCUUACCCGUCUAGUUCUUCCAUUCUCUUUUCUCUUCUCCGACCCCCGUGCCCUGGAAGUCCUGGUAUAUAAAGCCAGGCUUCCAGGGUCAAACGGAGGGGUGAUAAGAAUCACAUUGAGAGGCAAUAACCGUUAAUUAUGAUUUGCAACCCCAAAGGAAGUGACCAAUGGGGAAAUGAAUUAACUAAAGGCUGAAUUCAGGUAAUAUCUAAGAAGAGGGCUCUUAUGUGCUCAACUAUAAUCUUAAACGUGAUUGGUAGAAAAUGUUAAGAAUCUAUAAGUUGCUAGGUCAAUGGGAGAAAAUAAAACUGUCUUCUUUUUUCCUGUGGCUCCUAUCUGUCCAAGCUAUCUGCCAGUUUUUUCUGCAGGGUGGGGGAAAGUGUGCUCAGUCGCUAGGCAACCUGUGUACAGCUAGAUGCCUCUGGUGAUAGUUAAAGGGAGAUCUGGAACCAGAGGUAAGAUUUGGGAAAGGAGGAAGUAAAGCUUAAUUGGCACAUCCGCCAGGCCUUCUCAAACAGGUAGCCUGGAUGUUAAGUCUGUUCUUAGAGAAUACAGAGGUAUCUCUGAUAAAGUACUCUUCUCCAUCUGGGGACGGACCUGGCCAGAUGCUGCUAAUGAUGAUAAUUACAGGGAGGCUUGAACUGGGGUUCUGGCUGAGCAUAGCUGUCAGUGCAGGAGGUUAUCUAAAUAUUCCUAGAAGUGGUUAGGUAAGGAGUUAGCGGUCUAUAAAGUUAGUAAGGCUGUAAGAAAGAGGGGUCCGAGCUGAAUUGUGUAAAGCUAUUAAUGAACAUCCACCUGACCUAGGUGGUGUCUCCUUGUGGAAUUUACCUUAAAUCAGGAGACUUGCACGUGGACUGUUAUCAUUGCUAGUCCUUGAAAGUGGCUAAGGGAGAUAUCUGAUUCCAGAGAAAGCCUUUCCUGAGGCUGUUCUCCAAAUACCUGGAAUGUGUAUGUCCAGAGAGUGAUCAGUGCACACUGUUAGCCCUUCUUAGGGAAAAGUCAAUGGGGAUAACUAUGAAGGCACACAUGAUUUUCAUAACAGAGGACAGCUGAUAUAUAACAAGCCAAGUAACACCAAAACUCCUUGGAAUUUGGCUUCCUCUGGAGGAAUUCCCUGAUCCCUCCAGGUAGUGACUUUGCCAUAACCAGCUGAGUUCUUAUGAUAUAUUCCUGCGGCCUGCAGCACCUUUUGUUGGUAGACAGCCUCUGUUGGACUAGUUGGACCACAGUCUAUAAGUCACUCUAAUAAAUCCCCUUCCUCUGUAUCUAGAUUCAUUCUGUAUGUGCUGGAGUGAUCGCAAGGGCCUGUGACCUGGGUGACAAGCCCUGGAUUGAGUAAGUCGUGUGUGUCUGUUCUAUUAUUUUAUACACAUUACCGUAAUUAAGAUGUAGGCACUGAGAGGCUAGAGAUGGCCUCACUAGCCGAGUGCUCACUGCUCUUGCCGGAGACUAAGUUCAAUUCCCAGCACCCCACAGGGUAGCUCACUUGCAACUCCAGCUUUGAGGGAAUCAAAUCUUCUCACACACACAUGCUCUCUCACACACACACACACACACACACACACACACACACACGCACAUGCACACGCACAUGCACACGCACGCUUACACACGCUCUCAUAUAAUUAAAAACAUACAGCAAAAAUGAGGACACUGAUUAGCAAUCCCCUCUUCUUCCUGCCUCAAGCUCCAGCCAGUGUUGAAUCACCCCCUUGGUUUGCUUUGGGUCCCUCCGGCUCCUCUCUCUUUGAUCAGGAACCUCGUCUCUCAGUUAUUCCUUCACAGUCUUCUAAAGCGUUCCUUAAUUCCGUAAUCUCUGUCACCAGAGCCUGCCCUUAUUGUUCCUCAACUCACAGGUGGCCACCUCACCACACAGUCUUCACAGGUGGUCACCUUGCCACACAGUCUUCAUAGGUGGUCACUUUGCCACACAGUCUUCAUAGGUGGCCACCUCACCACACAGUCUUCACAGGUGGUUACCUUGCCACACAGUCUUCACAGGUGGCCACCUUGCCACACAGUCUUCAUAGGUGGUCACCUUGCCACACGGUCUUCACAGGUGGUCACCUUGCCACGAAGUCUGCAAGGCCUAACCCCUGACUGUCUAGCAGCCACCGAGUAAACCUUCCUCCUGCUCUACAUAAUUCCAUGGUGGAAAAGCAUCUGGGGCUUCCAGUCCCCUCUGCCUGCUAUUCAGCUGGCUUCACGGAAUGGAAUUAAGAACUAUUUUGUGGGCUGGGUGAGACUGCUCCGUGGGUAUUUGUCAACCCUGAUGACUUGAGUUGAGGGAUCCCCAGGAUCCACAUGGUGGCAGGAGAAAGCACUCCAGCGAAGUGUCUUGUGACCUCCACAGAAGAGCCGUGGCACAUGUAUGUGCAUGCAUACCCCCCCCCCCCCAGUAAUUUUAAAACAUAUAGUAAGAAGCUAUUUUGUACUAGGCGUGGUGGGCCUGCCUGGAAUACAGGCGAAAGUUCAACGUAGCCAAUUCAAGGCCAGCCUGGACUAAAUGAGAUCUUGUUUUGAACAACAGAAAAGCCACCCAUCCACAAACAAUAGUAAAACCCCAAAACAAAACCUUAUCUCUCAAACAUAAAAACAAGAGCCGUGGCCGGGCGGUGGUGGCACACGCCUUUAAUCCCAGCACUCGGGAGGCAGAGCCAGGCGGAUCGCUGUGAGUUCGAGGCCAGCCUGGGCUACCAAGUGAGUUCCAGGAAAGGCGCAAAGCUACACAGAGAAACCCUGUCUCGAAAAACCAA